GACGUAGGGCGCGAGCGUUGUCCGGAUUUAUUGGGCGUAAAGAGCGUGUAGGCGGCUAGAUAGGUCCGUUGUGAAAACUCGAGGCUCAACCUCGAGACGUCGAUGGAAACCAUCUGGCUAGAGUCCGGAAGAGGAGAGUGGAAUUCCUGGCGUAGCGGUGAAAUGCGCAGAUAUCAGGAGGAACACCGGUGGCGAAGGCGGGUCUCUGGGCCGAUACUGACGCUGAGGAGCGAAAGCGUGGGGAGCGAACAGG
rnacentral:rRNA from 1 species